UGGGGAAUAUUGCGCAAUGGGGGGAACCCUGACGCAGCCAUGCCGCGUGAAUGAAGAAGGCCUUAGGGUUGUAAAGUUCUUUCGGUAUUGAGGAAGGUUGAUGUGUUAAUAGCACAUCAAAUUGACGUUAAAUACAGAAGAAGCACCGGCUAACUCCGUGCCAGCAGCCGCGGUAAUACGGAGGGUGCGAGCGUUAAUCGGAAUAACUGGGCGUAAAGGGCACGCAGGCGGUUAUUUAAGUGAGGUGUGAAAGCCCCGGGCUUAACCUGGGAAUUGCAUUUCAGACUGGGUAACUAGAGUACUUUAGGGAGGGGUAGAAUUCCACGUGUAGCGGUGAAAUGCGUAGAGAUGUGGAGGAAUACCGAAGGCGAAGCNNGCCCCUUGGGAAUGUACUGACGCUCAUGUGCGAAAGCGUGGGGGAGCAAACAGGAUUAGAUACCCUGGUAGUCCACGCUGUAAACGCUGUCGAUUUGGGGGUUGGGGUUUAACUCUGGCGCCCGUAGCUAACGUGAUAAAUCGACCGCCUGGGGAGUACGGCCGCAAGUUA
rnacentral:rRNA from 1 species